AUUUGGCACGGUUUGGGCACAUCAGACGGACCGCCGAACGGACAGUACCUCUCCUGUCCGCCCAAGGCCAAGCAACCAGAUCAUGUACAAUUAAGCGCCCAGGAAUUUGCUUAAAUAACAUACAUGAUCAAAUACGAUGCACACAAGUGCAAUACAUCUAAGAGCAAGAACCACAAGUGAUAUACAAGUGUAUAAAGAGAGAUAGUCUAACUAUCACAAUCAUUCAACAUUUACAUUAUUUGAAUAUAUUAUAUUUUCAUCUUCCAAAAUGUAAGUACAUGUUUUCUUCAAAAUACAAGUAGCUCUCUGAUAUCUAUCCAAAAUAUCAACUAGUACACGAGGGUACUCUAAUGCAUAAGGAAAAGCUACUAACUAGGCUCACUUAGGGCGCUAUGCCCUUGCCGCGGUCCUCGCUCGGCUCGCCUCUAUGUGUACCUGUACCCCAAAACCACACGGGGUGAGAACUAUAUAAAUAUAGUUCCCAGUGGGUUCGGCCGCCGACGCCGCCGGUUUUCCCACUAGGUCUAAGCUGGCACAGAUAGAGAGAUAGAUAGAUAGAUAAAAGUAAACUGCGACUACUCUAUCAUGCCAUCACUGAUAAUAAUGCAUGCAACAACUACCAUCAUGCUAGUAUCAUGUCAUGAGUAUAGAAAAGUACAUAGCAAUGCAAUCUACAAUAUGCUACUAUGUCUCAAUGUCAACUCAAGGUAUGAAUGCAAAUCUGCUAUGCCAUUCAUAUUCUUUACCCAAUCUGCUUGGAAAUGAGCUACUACAUAGUGAUGUAUCUGCACAUGCUACUAUGCCUCAAUAAUCCAAAUGAACGAGCUACACAGUGCGUCGUGCAACUAUGCCUCGGUAGUAUCCAAUCUCAUGGCCAACCCGAAGGUUGCCACCCCGGGGUCAACCCCGACUCACUCUCAAUCUCAUAGGUGAGGAGAAACUGCACUCGCACACCGAGACCGUCUGCGGGACAACUACGUCUGCCCCUAGUGAAGUACUCCGGAGACUCGUACCUCGGUGGAGCGACCACCGACAAGCAAAAACAGACUAGUGAGUAUGAUCCAAUCCUCACAAGAGGAUACCCUAUCUACAAGGGUCAACGUGCCUCUGCUGCACAAUAUACAAUGUAUCCAAGAUGCCGGGAUCUCUACUAUCCCUAGAACCAUGUCACGUUUACUACACUAGACUCGAUGCCACUCGUUCGAUCAUUGUAGUAAGUUUUCUAGUUAAUUGACAUGCCACUCGUUCUAGUUUAGUGUUUCUACUACACUAGUUCAAUGCCACUCUACUAGGCUAUCAUAUGUCCAAGUUCGGCUCUUUAUACCAUUAUAGGAUUCCCAUGUCACAAAACCCAAUCCUCAUGCUACCCUAGUCCAUGUGUCUGACUCAUAGUUACACUACUAAGAAGCAUGCAAGGAAUUAGAAUUGCAACUAUCUGCUAAUCCUAUAAUGCAAUAUGAUCAAGUAUAUAUAUAAUUUAGACAUAAAAGGAAAUCUGGAUGCUUCGGGAUGACACCCCCCACCUUUUACCGCUAUCACGAGGCUAGGUUCUCAAUUGCACGUUCCCUAGUCGCCGCUUUACUCUUCGGUCGCACCUGCUCGACGAAUCGACGAACCGACGCUUCACACGCGUUUAGGCACCUCAAACACAAGCUUUUCCUCAAACCAAGUAAUGAAGAGGAUGAAGACUUCACCUCCAAGCAACCUUUUUCUUCUCCAAAUGCACCUCCAAUUCCUCUCUUUGGUGGAGAAAUUGUUAGAGAGAGAGAGAUAUUUCUCUUUGGUUGCAAGUGUGAGGGAGAAAGAAAGAAAAUGCUCAAGUCCCCUAUAUAUAUAUAGGAAACUUGGCCUCCAAGUUUCAUAGGAAACUUGGUCUCCAAGUGUCAUGGAAACUUAGCCUCCAAGUUUCAUAGGAAACUUGGCCUCCAAGUUAUCCAAGAACACUAUUCACAUUCAGUUUAGCAGCACGUACAGAUAUUUUUCGUCUGCCCUGUCUCUCACAGAAAAUUCUAAAUCUUCUGUUUUCGCUUCCAUUUCAACACGGGUCACUCUAGACUUAUAAUUUAUGUCUAUAAGUCCAAUAAAAAUAGUAUCCCACACUAUUUUUAUUUAUUUACACUUUUACAUUUAAAAUCCGGUAUAUUACAUUCCACCGCAACCUCACCGGAAUUACUUAAAUGUACACCGUAACUUCAUUGUUUUUAGAAGUCCGGUACCUUACAAGUCCGUUCAUAACCAAGUCCAAGUUUAUUUGUUUGACCAAGUCCAAGCAUCUUGUCUAGUUUGCUCGAGCCAGACGAAAAUUGGUUCAAAUCCGACUUCAGUUGAAUGAUCGUCUUGGUGAAUUCCAUAUUUGCUUCUCUAGCUUCUGAGUUUUUCUUGGUAAGAUAAUUGAUGUUCUCCGC
rnacentral:lncRNA from 1 species